rnacentral:rRNA from 1 species
GAAAGUAAUAAAGGGCGUAUGGGGGAUGCCUAGGCUCUUGGAGGCGAAGAAAGACGUGGUAAGCUGCGAUAAGCCUCGGGGAUUUGCAAACGAGAAUUGAUCCGAGGAUUUCUGAAUGGGACAACCCGGCAGGCAGAAGGCCUGUCACACGAAAGUGGGCCAACCCUCUGAACUGAAACAUCUUAGUAGGAGGAGGAAAAGAAAGAAACAUCGAUUUCCUAAGUAGCGGCGAGCGAACGGGAAACAGCCUAAACCACAAUUGUUACGGCAACUGUGGGGUUGUAGGACUGCAAUAUUCAAAUGACUGUGAACUGGAAUGUUCUGGAAAGUUCAUCCAUAGAGAGUGAAAGACUCGUACAGGCAAGCACGUCAGGCGAUAGCAGUAUCCUGAGUAGGGCGGGACACGAGGAAUCCUGUCUGAAUCCGCCGGGACCACCCGGUAAGGCUAAAUACUCCCAAGAGACCGAUAGUGAACCAGUACCGUGAGGGAAAGGUGAAAAGAACCCCGAACAGGGGAGUGAAAUAGAACCUGAAACCAUACGCUUACAACCUGUCGGAGCGGCUUCGUGCCGUGACGGCGUGCCUAUUGAAUAAUGAGCCUACGAGUUACUAAUCACUGGCAAGGUUAAGUGCACGGAUGCACGGAGCCGAAGCGAAAGCGAGUCUGAAUAGGGCGUUUAGUCAGUGGUUGUAGACGCGAAACCUUGCGAUCUACCCUUGAGCAGGUUGAAGGUUGGGUAAAACCAACUGGAGGACCGAACGAAUAAGCGUUGAAAAGCUUCUCGAUGACUUGAGGGUAGGGGUGAAAGGCUAAUCAAGCUGGGAAAUAGCUCGUACUCCCCGAAAUGCCUUUAGGGGCAGCGUUGUAAUUAAGAGUCUACUGGAGGUAGAGCUACUGAUUGGAUGCGGGGGCUUCACCGCCUACCAAAUCCUGACAAACUCCGAAUGCCAGUAGUAUGAUUUACAGCAGUGAGCGACCGGGUGCUAAUGUCCGGUUACGAGAGUGGAACAACACAGACCAGCAACUAAGGUCCCCAAGAGUAUACUAAGUUGAUCUAACGAUGUUUUGCUGCAGAGACAGCUAGGAUGUUAGCUUGGAAGCAGCUAUUCAUUCAAAGAGUGCGUAACAGCUCACUAGUCGAGCGGCAAAGCGUGGAUAAUAAACGGGCAUCAAGUAUACCACCGAAGUUCUGGGCACGAAAGUGCGGUAGGGGAGCAUUCCAUUCCGCGUUGAAGCCGAACCGUGAGGUUUGGUGGAGUGUAUGGAAAAGCAAAUGUAGGCAUGAGUAACGAUAAUGCGGGAGAGUAACCCGCACACCGCAAGACCAAGGUUUCCUGAUCAACGCUAAUCGGAUCAGGGUUAGUCGGGUCCUAAGGGUAAGCCGAACGGUGAUCUCGAUGGAUAAUCGGUUAAUAUUCCGAUACUGACAUAUACCUCGAUGGAGAGACGAAGGAACGUAAGUGCCGCCACCUGACGGAAUAGGUGGUUAAAGGGCUUAGGUAUAGGGGCAGAUUAAGAGUUAGUCCUUGCUGAAACCUGACAGUACAGAGAGCCUACGGGCAAUUUGAUAGUGCACCCAAGUCGACUUCCGAGAAAAUCUUCUAAGUUAUAGUAUAUGUCACCCGUACCGUAAACCGACACAGGUGGUCGAGGAGAGUAUCCUAAGGUGCUCGAGUGAAUCACGGUUAAGGAACUAGGCAAAUUAACCCCGUAACUUCGGGAAAAGGGGUCCCAUCGCGAGGUGGGCGCAGCGAAGAGGUCCAGGCGACUGUUUAUCAAAAACACAGGGCUCUGCAAAUUCGAAAGAAGACGUAUAGGGCCUGACACCUGCCCGGUGCUGGAAGGUUAAGAGGGGAUGUCAUCGCAAGAGAAGCAUUGAAUCGAAGCCCCAGUAAACGGCGGCCGUAACUAUAACGGUCCUAAGGUAGCGAAAUUCCUUGUCGGGUAAGUUCCGACCUGCACGAAUGGUGUAACGAUCUGGACACUGUCUCAACCGUGAGCUCGG